CUUUCAACUUCCAUUUCCCCCAAGGGAAUGUCAUUAUUAUCGUUGGCACCUCUAAUCGCUCUCCCUGCACCUUCUAAUCGGGUAAGUAAAGAAUCAUUCAUACAGUUGGUUGAAUACACAUACCUAAUAUAAAAGCUAUACCAUUCCUGAUAGAGUUUCGUGUUCUUAUGAGUGCACCUGGACAUUCUGGCAUGGUUAGAGUAAACUUCAAGAAUAUUUAACGAACCCAUUUCGCAAAGAAAAAGAACAUUGCCCAUAAUAAAUAGCA